UACGUAGGGGGCAAGCGUUAUCCGGAUUUACUGGGUGUAAAGGGAGCGUAGACGGUGCGCCAAGUCUGGAGUGAAAUGCCGCAGCUUAACUGCGGAACUGCUUUGGAAACUGGCGGACUAGAGUGCGGGAGGGGUAAGCGGAAUUCCUAGUGUAGCGGUGAAAUGCGUAGAUAUUAGGAGGAACACCGGUGGCGAAGGCGGCUUACUGGACCGUAACUGACGUUGAGGCUCGAAAGCGUGGGGAGCAAACAGG
rnacentral:rRNA from 1 species